rnacentral:rRNA from 1 species
CAUCGGAACGUGUCCCGUAGUGGGGGAUAACUCGGCGAAAGCCGAGCUAAUACCGCAUAUGCUCUACGGAGGAAAGUGGGGGAUCGCAAGACCUCACGCUAUGGGAGCGGCCGAUGUCCGAUUAGCUUGUUGGUGGGGUAAUGGCUUACCAAGGCGACGAUCGGUAGCUGGUCUGAGAGGAUGAUCAGCCACACUGGGACUGAGACACGGCCCAG